rnacentral:rRNA from 1 species
AGCAGGGGACCUUCGGGCCUUGCGCUAUCAGAUGAGCCUAGGUCGGAUUAGCUAGUUGGUGAGGUAAUGGCUCACCAAGGCGACGAUCCGUAACUGGUCUGAGAGGAUGAUCAGUCACACUGGAACUGAGACACGGUCCAGACUCCUACGGGAGGCAGCAGUGGGGAAUAUUGGACAAUGGGCGAAAGCCUGAUCCAGCCAUGCCGCGUGUGUGAAGAAGGUCUUCGGAUUGUAAAGCACUUUAAGUUGGGAGGAAGGGUUGUAGAUUAAUACUCUGCAAUUUUGACGUUACCGACAGAAUAAGCACCGGCUAACUCUGUGCCAGCAGCCGCGGUAAUACAGAGGGUGCAAGCGUUAAUCGGAAUUACUGGGCGUAAAGCGCGCGUAGGUGGUUUGUUAAGUUGGAUGUGAAAUCCCCGGGCUCAACCUGGGAACUGCAUCCAAAACUGGCAAGCUAGAGUAUGGUAGAGGGUGGUGGAAUUUCCUGUGUAGCGGUGAAAUGCGUAGAUAUAG